AUAUUUGACAAUGGGGGCAACCCUGAUCCAGCCAUGCCGCGUGGGUGAAGAAGGUCUUCGGCUUGUAAAGCACUUUAAGUUUGGAGGGAGGGCUUUAGGUUAUUACCCUGAAGUUUUGACGUUACCAACAGAAUAAGCACCGGCUGAUCUUGUUCCCGCAGCCGCGGUAAUACAGUGGGUGCAAGCGUUAAUCGGAAUUACUGGGCGUAAAGCGCGCGUAGGUGGUUCAGUAAGAUGGGUGUGAAAUCCCCGGGCUUAACCAGGGAACUGCUUUCAUAACUGCUGAGCUAGAGUACGGUAGAGGGUAGUGGAAUUUCCUGUGUAGCGGUGAAAUGCGAAGAUAUAGGAAGGAACACCAGUGGCGAAGGCGACUACCUGGACUGAUACUGACACUGAGGUGCGAAAGCGUGGGGAGCAAAC
rnacentral:rRNA from 1 species